rnacentral:rRNA from 1 species
AGUCGAACGGCAGCACGGACUUCGGUCUGGUGGCGAGUGGCGAACGGGUGAGUAAUGUAUCGGAACGUGCCUAGUAGUAAGAUUUGUCGAAGAAGCGACAAAACCGUGGCAUGGCGCGUCGAAGAAAUGGGGACCUGUCCCGCACGAGUGAGCGCCGAUAUCGGAUUAGCGCAGGUUGGUGGGGUAACGGCUCACCAAGGCGACGAUCCGUAGCUGGUUUGAGAGGACGACCAGCCACAUCACCCAGAUGCGGCCCAGACUCACGGGAGGCAGCAGUGGGGAAUUUUGGACAAUGGGGAAACCCUGAUCCAGCCAUCCGCGUGUGCGAUGAAGGCUCAAGUUGUAAAGCACUUUUGGCAGGAAAGAAACGGCACGAUAAUACCCCGUGCAACUGACGGUACCUGCAGAAUAAGCACCGGUUAACUACGUGCCAGCAGCCGCGGUAAUACGUAGGGUGCAAGCGUUAAUCGGAAUUACUGGGCGCAAGCGUGCGGCAGGCGGGUUCGGAAAGAAAGAUGUGAAAUCCCAGAGCUUAACUUUGAACUGCAUUUUUAACUACCGAGCUAGAGUGUGUCAGAGGAGGUGGAAUUCGCGUGUAGCAGUGAAAUGCGUAGAUAUGCGGAGGAACACCGAUGGCGAAGGCAGCCUCCUGGGAUAACACUGACGCUCAUGCACGAAAGCGUGGGAGCAAACAGGAUUAGAUACCCUGGUAGUCCACGCCCUAAACGAUGUCAACUAGCUGUUGGGGUCUCCGCGCUUUCUUCCUGGUAGCGCAGCUAACGCGUGAAGUUGACCGCCUGGGAGCAUGGUCGCAAGAUUAAAACUCAAAGGAAUUGACGGGGACCGCACAAGCGGUGGAUGAUGUGGAUUAAUUCGAUGCAACGCGAAAACCUUACCUACCUACGUGUCUGGAAUCCCGAAGAGAUUUGGGAAUGCUCGCAAGAGAACCGGAACACAGGUGCUGCAUGGCUGUCGUCAGUCGUCGUGAGAUGUUGGGUUAAGUCCCCUGCAACGAGCGCAACCCUUGUCAUUAGUUGCUACGAAAGGACACUCUAAUGAGACUGCCGGUGACAAACCGGAGGAAGGUGGGGAUGACGUCAAGUCCUCAUGGCCCUUAUGGGUAGGGCUUCACACGUCAUACAAUGGUCGGGACAGAGGGUCGCCAACCCGCGAGGUAGGCCAAUCCCCAGAAACCCGAUCGUAGUCCGGAUCGCAGUCUGCAACUCGACUGCGUGAAGUCGGAAUCGCUAGUAAUCGCGGAUCAGCAUGUCGCGGUGAAUAUUCCUGGUCUUGUACACACCGCCCGUCACACCAUGGGAGUGGGUUUACCAGAAGUAGUUAGCCUAACCGUAAGGAGGGGCGAUUACCACGGUAGGAUUCAUGACCGGGGUGAAGUCGUGAAGCAAGGUAGCUCUGUUACC